rnacentral:rRNA from 1 species
CAGAAGUUAGCCGGNGCUUAUUCUUACGGUACCGUCAUGACCUCCCUUUAUUAGAAAGAGGCUUUUCGUUCCAGUACAAAAGCAGUUCUACAACCCGAAGGCCUUCAUCCUGCACGCAGGCAUGGCUGGAUCAGGGUUUCCCCCAUUAGUCCAUAAAUUCCCCACNUGCUGCCUCCCGUAGG